rfam:Clostridium hiranonis DSM 13275 Scfld1 genomic scaffold, whole genome shotgun sequence.
UUUACAUAUUCUGCAAAUGCACCAGGAUCUUUUGCUCCUAUUACCUUUAAUUUUUCACAUCUUGCAAACUCUCCCUUUUUACAAGAUUCACACUCUCCGCAGUAUAGAGCUGGGCA